GAUGAACGCUGGCGGCGUGCUUAACACAUGCAAGUCGAACGGAAAGGCCCAAGCUUGCUUGGGUACUCGAGUGGCGAACGGGUGAGUAACACGUGGGUGAUCUGCCCUGCACUUCGGGAUAAGCCUGGGAAACUGGGUCUAAUACCGGAUAGGACCACAUUUUGGAUGGUGUGGUGGAAAGUUUUUCGGUGUGGGAUGAGCUCGCGGCCUAUCAGCUUGUUGGUGGGGUAAUGGCCUACCAAGGCGUCGACGGGUAGCCGGCCUGAGAGGGUGUACGGCCACAUUGGGACUGAGAUACGGCCCAGACUCCUACGGGAGGCAGCAGUGGGGAAUAUUGCACAAUGGGCGCAAGCCUGAUGCAGCGACGCCGCGUGGGGGAUGACGGCCUUCGGGUUGUAAACUCCUUUCGCUAGGGACGAAGCGUUAUGUGACGGUACCUUGAGAAGAAGCACCGGCUAACUACGUG
rnacentral:rRNA from 1 species